GCCUGGGUGGCUUAGUCGGUUAAGUGUCCGACUUCGGCUCAGGUCAUGAUCUCACAGUUUGUAGGUUCUAGUCCUGCAUCAGGCU
rfam:Felis catus isolate Cinnamon breed Abyssinian chromosome B2, whole genome shotgun sequence.